UAUACUAUUGGAUGCUUGUGUCCCUGUGUGGCAUUUAGAGCCGGUCCUGGUUGAGUGUAGAGUCUAAGCUUGAGUCCUAUAUUAUUGGAUGCUUGUGUCCCUGUGUGACAUAUAGAGCUCGUCCUGGUUGAAUAUAGAGUCUGAGAUUCAGACUGUGCAGUGUCCUUUAGAAUCAGGCAGUUAAUUAUGGUUGAGAAAUUGCCUGUGUGGCUUUCAGACCUAGGGAGUGAAGCCUGGUUGAGAUUUUGGACUGUGUGUUAGAACCAGAGAGUUAAGCCUGGUUGAGAAAUAGCCUGUGUGGUAUUUAGAAUUGGAGCCCCUAGAUGGUCGUAUUGCUGGAGAUUCAGAAACUAACGAACAAUACAGUGCAAAAUACGGAAGACGAGCUGAUAAUAUGAAACGAUCAGAUUACAUUAAAGCAAAUGGAUUAGACUUUGAGGGAGGCACUGAGAAUGGAAAAUACAUGAAAGAUAUGAAGUUUGACAGGCCUGAAAAGUAUCGAAGUAAAAGCGGUAAUCUGAAGUUAAUGGAUGGCAGAAU